rnacentral:rRNA from 1 species
UACGUAGGGUGCAAGCGUUGUCCGGAAUUAUUGGGCGUAAAGAGCUCGUAGGCGGUCUGUCGCGUCGGAUGUGAAAACCCAGGGCUCAGCCCUGGGCCUGCAUUCGAUACGGGCAGACUAGAGUUCGGUAGGGGAGACUGGAAUUCCUGGUGUAGCGGUGAAAUGCGCAGAUAUCAGGAGGAACACCGGUGGCGAAGGCGGAUCUCUGGGCCGUAACUGACGCUGAGGAGCGAAAGCAUGGGGAGCGAACAGG